CGAGACUGUUGUUCUCUCGUCUCUCAGGGAGCAGAGCAGAGUAGCGGGGGCAGUCGUCUCAGAGAAGGAAAAGCAGCACUGAGGUGUCACCGCAGCCAUAGAAGAUGGUGCUGAAGCCAAAAUGAGACCAUGGACCACCAGGACUCCGCAACACAGACAGGAAGCUGUUCAACAGCCAUCACAAAUAUUUCGACAGCCAGGCGUACUGCUAAUUUAGUAAUUCUCAGGAGCAGCAUUUAUUAAAAAUGUUGUGCGACCAUAUUCCUGUAGUAGUUGUUUUGAUGAAUAUUGUCAUGAGUGCUGGUGUGGUCAAGUCCUAGGAGAGUUAAAAGCUAUGAUUCAGGCCCAGCAAGAACAGCAAACUGUCAAGUAAAUUAGAAACGAAGAGGAAAUAUUGGGAGAAAGACGCUGAGGGAUCAAAAGGGCCAAGAUCUUAAGUCACAUUUGACCAUGGAGACCCCGAGAUUAGAUUGUAUGCACCUUAAUAAAUGGGAGCACUCGAGCGCUCUGCGUGAACAUAUUUAAUAACAUUACAUGCGAGCCUAAGGCUCAUUAUGUGAAUGUCCUCUUUGCAAAAAAAAGUGAGACCUCACAUUGAGUUUGAAACUAAAAAGUAACAAUGGUUCACACAAAGCUCCAGUGAUGACAUCAUCAGAUUGUCUCCGGUGAAGCACCAGCGAUAAUGUUGUCACAAGUGCUGUUGGGUGCCAUACUGUCCCUCCUCAUCCUUCUGACUGUCGGCGGUAAUGUGCUGGUGUGCCUGGCUGUCUGCGCCUCUCGACGCCUCCGCUGCCUCACCAACUGCUUCAUUGUGUCUCUAGCUGUGACAGACUUGCUGCUCGGCCUCUUGGUUCUCCCUUUCUCCGCCCUCCUCCAGCUCACCAACGAGUGGCCGCUCGGCCCAUCCUUCUGCAACUUCUACAUCUCCAUGGAUGUCAUGCUGUGCACUGCCUCCAUCCUCACCCUCCUGGCCAUCAGUGUGGACCGCUACCUGGCAGUGACCAUGCCUCUGAGAUACGCCUCACUGGUGUUGCCAUGGAGAGUUGCUGUGGCCAUGGCCAGUGUUUGGACAGUGUCCGUGGCCGUGUCUUUCUUGCCCAUCCAAAUGGGGUGGAAUACUGUAAAUGGCACGGUGCAGAACUAUGGGCCUUGGGCUCAAGAGGGGAGAUGCCGCUUUGAGCUGAACAGACCCUACGCCCUCACUGACUCUCUGCUCACUUUCUAUCUGCCUCUGGUGGCUAUGUGCUGGACCUACCUCCAAAUACUUCGGAUUGCACGGGCACAGGCCAAACGCAUUGUCAGUGCCCGACCCAAUAGCAGCACGAGUAACAACUGCAGGAACAAUCCUUCCAGCAGUAUCACUUUGGUUACCAGUAUUACAGCAGUGGCUCUGCGGGAGCACAAAGCCACAAUGACACUGGCAGCAGUGAUAGGGGCUUUUGUUGUAUGCUGGCUGCCGUAUUUUAUCCUCUUCACAGUGUUGGGCCUGGAGGAGAAUCCAGACCCAAGCAAAGUACCAUCAUUCCCUGUUGUGUUGUGGCUGGGUUACGCCAACUCAGCCUUUAACCCUAUCCUCUAUGGAGCCCUCAACAGGGACUUUAGGUCAGCCUACAGUCAUCUACUGAGAUGUCGAUGCCCUUCUUACAGUGGGUGGAGGAGCCGACAGCCAUCUCCCACUGUGACAGCAGCCAGAGAGCAGCUUACAGAGGUGACACUGCUGUGUGGCCACACCCCCGCCACCUGCAGGGCAGGUCUAGCAGAGCAAAACUUUAUGCUUCAAGAAAUGAACAGCGGGACAUCCACAGCUACUAUCCAAAUUGCAAAUGGCACUGCUGCCACAGAUGUCAAUGGCAAUGAAAGGUCGUGCUGAGCCUGUGCUGGUGAGGUGGGUGCUGUGUUCACUGUACCGCGGCUGCAACCAAGAACCAGAAUCCAUCAGCCCAAGAGGAAAAGAGCAACAGACAGACAAAAAGAUGGACAGAGAUUUACAGCUCCUCUACUUGGAAGCCCUCAGCGCCGCAGUAGGAGCACCCAUAAUACACCACUAACCACUCUCUCUGUAAUUCAACAAACAACAGUGGGACAAAAUGGGACCUCAGCAACUCCACACCUCAUCAGCAAGAACCAACUGUGCGCAGACAGCCGGCCUCCACCCGUCCAGGAUCGAACAUGUGAUGAUGCUUCUAUGUGGAUGGAGCUAAGUUGUCUAACAAAAUCCUUCCACUGCAGCCAACCAACACACAGAGCAAAACAUGGCCCUGAUAUGCUCUUGAUCUAACUGUGAAUAGUACUGAAGCUCUGGAGAACUAAAUGAGACCAGCCCGAUAACUUGUUGGUCAUCAAUUUAAUGAGCUACAUUUUUUUUAUGCUGACUCAAGAGUGCACUCCAGUGGAAACACAAAGUAUCACAACUUUAACCUGGACAAAAUAAUUGGAAAUGUUUCACAACAUGAGAGAAUGGAAGAGAAAAAGUGAUAAAUGGACUUUUAUUAUUAUCACUUUAUGUAAAAUGUGUUGUGACAUUUGAAUGUGUAGCAUUUAAUGUUAUGUGUCUAUUUCGAAGAACGCAGAUCGUGUCUCUGCUGUUGCUCACUCAGUGGCAUAAAGCUAGCAAAUGUAUUGUAUCAUACUGUAAAAGUAACUGAGAACUGUUUCUACAAAACAGAAAAUUACAACCAUACUGUACCAAUAAAGGGCAGCUUAAAUAAAG